rfam:Fulmarus glacialis contig57217, whole genome shotgun sequence.
UGGAAAUACGAAACGGGAGCAGGACAGCACUCCCCUUGGUUAGGAUGGAAGAAGUCCUAACAGACUUUUAACCACGUUUAAGACUGUCACUUACUUUGUGGCAUCUAAUUUAUGU